rnacentral:rRNA from 1 species
CGGCACGGGUGAGUAACGCGUAUCCAACCUGCCUUACACUCUUGGACAGCCUUCUGAAAGGAAGAUUAAUACAAGAUGGCAUCAUGAGUCCGCAUGUUCACAUGAUUAAAGGUGUUCCGGUAGACGAUGGGGAUGCGUUCCAUUAGAUAGUAGGCGGGGUAACGGCCCACCUAGUCUUCGAUGGAUAGGGGUUCUGAGAGGAAGGUCCCCCACAUUGGAACUGAGACACGGUCCAA